AUUGAACGCUGGCUGCAGGCCUAACACAUGCAAGUCGAGCGAGCGGCGGACGGGUGAGUAAUGUCUGGGAACCUGCCCGAUGGAGGGGGAUAACUACUGGAAACGGUAGCUAAUACCGCAUACAAUCAGAUGUGCCCAGAUGGGAUUAGCUAGUAGGUGGGGUAAUGGCUCACCAAGGCGACGAUCCCUAGCUGGUCUGAGAGGAUGACCAGCCACACUGGAACGGUGAGACGGUCCAGACUCCUACGGGAGGAAGCAGUGGGGAAUAUUGCACAAUGGGCGAAAGCCUGAUGCAGCCAUGCCGCGUGGAUGAAGAAGGCCUUCGGGUUGUAAAGUACUUUCAGCGAGGAGGCGUUACUCGCAGAAGAAGCACCGGCUAACUCCGUGCCAGCAGCCGCGGUAAUAC
rnacentral:rRNA from 1 species